AAACGCUUGAAGUCAGUCGCAUCCUUCAGAAAUCAACCUGGCCGUCAGGUCUGGUGCACUUUCUGUUUGGAUGGGUCAGCAUCAAUUUUGAUCGUUGGAUAAAGGCCUUGGGAAUGUAGCUUCUUUCGGGGAGUGUUAUAGCCCUCGGUGCAAUGCCGCCUACCUAGACCGAGGACCGCGCUUCGGCUAGGAUGCUGGCGUAAUGGUUGUAAGCGA
rnacentral:rRNA from 1 species